GUUGUAUCUCUAUUUAAACCAACUUACUAUCCUACCUUGGGCAACUUGCCUCCUCAGAUCCAGAGGAACUGUUAGCUUUAAAAUUAGCCAGAAAUGAGUUUGGAUUAAGAGCUCUCCAAGGCUCCUUCCAAAUCUAGGCUUCUAUAAUUCUUAAAUGAUGAUAAAACCGAAUUUGGCUUUCAGGGACUUCAGUUGUUCUGUUUCAGAUAUCAUAAUGUCAGAGUACCGUAGCGAUUAAUAAUGCAUAUUUACAGAGUGCUAAAUCUGAUUCUUUCUUGGUUCUGACAUCAUCCAAUCUCCUAGAGUUUAAGUUGUUCUUUUUAGAACAACUUAAAGCCAAAGGCACUCUCUCUGAACUGUUUUGCCUUCUGAAGUGAAGGCAUGCCUUCCGCAGCCACAGCUGACCCCAGUUCACCUUUCUCUGAGCUGCCAGUGCACGGGCCCACAUGACUCAGCAAUCCCAGCUUCUGAAGCAGCCCAUCGCCACAACAGUCAACAAUUAAACUUUCUUGCAUGCUACUUCUAAGAAGAACCCGUAUGAUUACACUGGGCCCAAUCGAGGAGAGUCUCCCCACCUCAAGAUCCUCCACUGAGUCAUAUCUGCAAAGUCUCUUUUGCUAUGCAAGCGAGGAAGGUAUUACCAUCCCCCAGAGUCAAGAAAGAGAGAUUUGACAUCAGCAACACUGACCUGAAGCUAGUAUUCUUUCAAGGAGGUAAGUUUCAUUCAUUAAAUCAAGAAACCUCUAUGAAGCCUUCAGCAAUGAUUCUCAAACUCUGUAUUCUUUUAGGCCUGUGGAGUUACUGCAAGAGCUCCAGGAAUCCGUAUGUGUGCUCCAGACUGUCGAGACUUCAAAAAAUUGGCAUAUUUUACUCAUAUAUACUUGUAUUUCUCAAGUGUAUUGUGGAUACUGUUGUGAUACAUCAAGUACAAUUUUUAAAACCAUGUUACUAAAACCACAGUUUUUGUUACCAUAUAUUUUAUCAAUCAUCAGAAUUUUUAAUUAACAUACUUUAUUUUUGAGCAGUUUUAGGUUUACAGAAAAAUUGAUCAGGAAGUAUAGAGUUCUCAUAUACUUCCUUGCCCUCUCUCUCCCCAGCAUCCCCUAGUCAUAACUUCUUGUAUGAAUGUGGCAUAUUUGUUACAGUUGAUGAGUCAAUAUUGAUGUAGUGUUAUUCAUUAAAGUCUAUAGUUUACAUUACGGCUUACUCUUUGUAUUGCAUAUUCUACAGGUUUUGACAAAUGUGUAAAGACAGGCACCCACCAUUUUAGCAUCCACCAUUAUAGACACAGAAUAGUUUCACUGCCCUAAAAGCCCCCUGUGCUCCACCAAUUUAUCCCUCUCUCUCUUCCCCAAACCACUGAUCUUUUUAGUACUUUCAUAAUUUUGCCUUUUCCAGCAUGUGAUAUAGCUAGAAUCAUGCGGUAUGUAGCAUUUUCGGAUUGGAUCUUAAAAAAAAUUAGUGAUAGGCAUUUAAGUUUCCUUUGUAUUUUUUUCAGGGAUUGAUAGCUCAUUUUUUUAUUGCUAAAUCAUAUUCCACUGUAAGGAUAUACUACAAUAUGUUUAUCCAUUCUCUUAUUGAAGGACAUCUUGGUUGCUUCCAAGUUUUUUUUUGUUUUUGUUUUUUGUUUCUUUUUCUAGAUAUGGGGUCUCACCAUUUUGGCCAGGCUGGUCUUGAACUCCUGACCCUCAGGUGAUCUGCCCACCUCAGCCUCCCAAACUGCUGGGAUUACAGGUGUGAACCACCAUGCCUGGCCCCCAUGUUUUAUUAAUUAUGAAUAAGACUGC
rnacentral:lncRNA from 13 species